rnacentral:rRNA from 1 species
AUUGAACGCUGGCGGCAGGCCUAACACAUGCAAGUCGAGCGGCAGCGGAAAAGUAGCUUGCUACUUUUGCCGGCGAGCGGCGGAUGGGUGAGUAAUGCCUGGGGAUCUGCCCAGUCGAGGGGGAUAACUACUGGAAACGGUAGCUAAUACCGCAUACGCCCUACGGGGGAAAGCAGGGGACCUUCGGGCCUUGCGCGAUUGGAUGAACCCAGGUGGGAUUAGUUAGUUGGUGAGGUAAUGGCUCACCAAGGCGACGAUCCCUAGCUGGUCUGAGAGGAUGAUCAGCCACACUGGAACUGAGACACGGUCCAGACUCCUACGGGAGGCAGCAGUGGGGAAUAUUGCACAAUGGGGGAAACCCUGAUGCAGCCAUGCCGCGUGUGUGAAGAAGGCCUUCGGGUUGUAAAGCACUUUCAGCGAGGAGGGAAGGUUGGUAGCUAAUAACUGCCAGCUGUGACGUUACUCGCAGAAGAAGCACCGGCUAACUCCGUGCCAGCCGCCGCCGUAA